rnacentral:rRNA from 1 species
UCCUGCCGGACCUGACUGCUAUCGGAUUGAUACUAAGCCAUGCGAGUCUUUGCAGUAAUGCAAGGCAUACGGCUCAGUAACACGUAGUCAACCUACCCUAUGGACGAGAAUAAUCUCGGGAAACUGAGCAUAAUUCUUGAUAGAUCAUAAUGCCUGGAAUGGUUUAUGGUUAAAAUGAUUCGUCGCCAUAGGAUGGGACUGCGGCCUAUCAGCUUGUUGGUGAGGUAAUGGCCCACCAAGGCGAUUACAGGUACGGGCUCUGAGAGGGGAAGCCCGGAGAUGGGUACUGAGACACGGACCCAGGCCCUAUGGGGCGCAGCAGGCGAGAAAACUUUGCAAUGUGCGAAAGCACGACAAGGUUAAUCCGAGUGAUUUCUGCUAAAGAAAUCUUUUGCCAGUCAUAAAACCACUGGUGAAUAAGGGGUGGGCAAGUUCUGGUGUCAGCCGCCGCGGUAAAACCAGCACCUCAAGUGGUCAGGAUGAUUAUUGGGCCUAAAGCAUCCGUAGCCGGCUUUGUAAGUUUUCGGUUAAAUCCAUGUGCUCAACGCAUGGGCUGCCGAAAAUACUGCAUGGCUAGGGAGUGGGAGAGGUAGACGGUACUCAGUAGGAAGGGGUAAAAUCCUUUGAUCUAUUGAUGACCACCUGUGGCGAAGGCGGUCUACCAGAACACGUUCGACGGUGAGGGAUGAAAGCUGGGGGAGCAAACCGGAUUAGAUACCCGGGUAGUCCCAGCUGUAAACGAUGCAGACUAGAUGAUGCAUUGGCAUAAUAGCCAUUGCAGUGUCUCAGGGAAGCCGUUAAGUCUGCCGCCUGGGAAGUACGUACGCAAGUAUGAAACUUAAAGGAAUUGGCGGGGGAGCACCACAAGGGGUGAAGCCUG